ACUUAACAAAACUAAAAAGAACAUUUGAGAAGUCCUUAUUAUUAAUGGACCAUACAUCCUCAUUAUUUACGGUCAACAUACACCUAUCAACAUGUACCAAACCCGAGCCCCCUACUUCAUACCCUUGCCAGCUACUAUCCAACGUUUAACGUAGCGACAAAAGCGCUACCAAAGCCACCAAAACAUCCUCGACCACCAGUCGCCGAGCCCCAGUACGCCAACUCGGCAGCCUAUGCUCUUCGAAAUAUAAAAUUUAUACUAUCUCACAUGAUUGAGCACCAACUUGCGUUCUCAUCACUGUAGUAGUAAUUCCCAAUCGGCUCCCCAGGCGGCGGUGGCGGCGCCGGGGCAACCCGCAUGUACCCCAUCUGCGGGUACCCGCCGUACUCACCGUUCAUCAUCGCCCUCUGCUGCAUCAUCGCCGCCAUAUACUGCUGCUGCUGGUAGGCAUUGGCCGCCGCCGCAGGCGGCAACAUCCCUGUCGGUGCUUCCGCCGGCAGCCCCUGCAUGACACCCAUGCCGGGUUGCCCCGUCACCUUGUUAGGGUUGCCAUUGUUGCCGCCCUUGUCGCCGCCUUUGUUGCUUUUCCCACCAUUCUUGGCAUCUUUGUCCCCGCCGCCGCCGCCCUUGUCACCCUUUUUACCGCCGCCUGUGAACUGUACUGGAAUUUCUACCCCUCCUCCACCGACACCCUUCUUACCGCCGCCGCCAGCGGCGGCACUGCCUCCCUUUAAAAGAAAGUCGAAAUCAUGUUGUUUAGUUUGUUUUGGGUCAGCAUCAAGGUCAUCUUCAAAUCCAUCAAUAUCAUCGAAGCCCUCGUCAUCUUCAUCGUCGUAGUCACCGUCGAGCUCAUCAUCAAAGUCGCUACCAUCCUCAAGUGGAAGGGCAAACUUGACAUUUUUCUGGUCCUUCAGCGGAGGCAGCUUCAGAUCCUUGAACCCUUUAAGCUGCUGCAGCAGCUCCAGCUGCUGCUGCUGCAGUUGACCCUUCGGGUCCUUGGCGGCGGGACCACCGACACCGACGCCCUUCUGUGGUUUCCCGUUCUCCUUCUGCUGAGGCUUGGAGUUAUUGACGGAAUUGCCGCCUUUGGGAAGAAGCAGCUCGGCAUGCUUGCCGGCCUUGGCGAGCUUUUUGAUGAGGAUGGCAGCAUCGACAGUUCCCGACACUGUCACCUUGCCUUGCUCUGCAUCUAUGCUUGUUGUGUACACCCCAUCAAUCUUCCGCAACAGCUUCUUGACCUUUUUAUUGCAUCCGUCACAGUGUAUGUGCACUUUCAGAACAUAGGUCUGAAUCUUGGGGAGCUUGGUAUCUUCUUUCUUGCUCAUCCCUGCAAGCUAAAGUGAGUGAUGGGUUGGGAUCAAGCAAAGAAAACCUAGAAAGGAGGCACCAUUUGGUAUUUGGUUGAUGGAUUGUAGGAGAGAAAUGGGAGACUUAAGUUUGUGGCCUGAGUUCAACUUCUAAGCUCCAUUAUAGAGGCCUGCAACUUG
rnacentral:misc_RNA from 1 species